GGUUAAGCGACUAAGCGUACACGGUGGAUGCCCUGGCAGUCAGAGGCGAUGAAGGACGUGCUAAUCUGCGAUAAGCGUCGGUAAGGUGAUAUGAACCGUUAUAACCGGCGAUUUCCGAAUGGGGAAACCCAGUGUGAUUCGUCACACUAUCAUUAACUGAAUCCAUAGGUUAAUGAGGCGAACCGGGGGAACUGAAACAUCUAAGUACCCCGAGGAAAAGAAAUCAACCGAGAUUCCCCCAGUAGCGGCGAGCGAACGGGGAGCAGCCCAGAGCCUGAAUCAGUGUGUGUGUUAGUGGAAGCGUCUGGAAAGGCGCGCGAUACAGGGUGACAGCCCCGUACACAAAAAUGCACAUGCUGUGAGCUCGAUGAGUAGGGCGGGACACGUGGUAUCCUGUCUGAAUAUGGGGGGACCAUCCUCCAAGGCUAAAUACUCCUGACUGACCGAUAGUGAACCAGUACCGUGAGGGAAAGGCGAAAAGAACCCCGGCGAGGGGAGUGAAAAAGAACCUGAAACCGUGUACGUACAAGCAGUGGGAGCACGCUUAGGCGUGUGACUGCGUACCUUUUGUAUAAUGGGUCAGCGACUUAUAUUCUGUAGCAAGGUUAACCGAAUAGGGGAGCCGAAGGGAAACCGAGUCUUAACUGGGCGUUAAGUUGCAGGGUAUAGACCCGAAACCCGGUGAUCUAGCCAUGGGCAGGUUGAAGGUUGGGUAACACUAACUGGAGGACCGAACCGACUAAUGUUGAAAAAUUAGCGGAUGACUUGUGGCUGGGGGUGAAAGGCCAAUCAAACCGGGAGAUAGCUGGUUCUCCCCGAAAGCUAUUUAGGUAGCGCCUCGUGAAUUCAUCUCCGGGGGUAGAGCACUGUUUCGGCAAGGGGGUCAUCCCGACUUACCAACCCGAUGCAAACUGCGAAUACCGGAGAAUGUUAUCACGGGAGACACACGGCGGGUGCUAACGUCCGUCGUGAAGAGGGAAACAACCCAGACCGCCAGCUAAGGUCCCAAAGUCAUGGUUAAGUGGGAAACGAUGUGGGAAGGCCCAGACAGCCAGGAUGUUGGCUUAGAAGCAGCCAUCAUUUAAAGAAAGCGUAAUAGCUCACUGGUCGAGUCGGCCUGCGCGGAAGAUGUAACGGGGCUAAACCAUGCACCGAAGCUGCGGCAGCGACACUAUGUGUUGUUGGGUAGGGGAGCGUUCUGUAAGCCUGUGAAGGUGUACUGUGAGGUAUGCUGGAGGUAUCAGAAGUGCGAAUGCUGACAUAAGUAACGAUAAAGCGGGUGAAAAGCCCGCUCGCCGGAAGACCAAGGGUUCCUGUCCAACGUUAAUCGGGGCAGGGUGAGUCGACCCCUAAGGCGAGGCCGAAAGGCGUAGUCGAUGGGAAACAGGUUAAUAUUCCUGUACUUGGUGUUACUGCGAAGGGGGGACGGAGAAGGCUAUGUUGGCCGGGCGACGGUUGUCCCGGUUUAAGCGUGUAGGCUGGUUUUCCAGGCAAAUCCGGAAAAUCAAGGCUGAGGCGUGAUGACGAGGCACUACGGUGCUGAAGCAACAAAUGCCCUGCUUCCAGGAAAAGCCUCUAAGCAUCAGGUAACAUCAAAUCGUACCCCAAACCGACACAGGUGGUCAGGUAGAGAAUACCAAGGCGCUUGAGAGAACUCGGGUGAAGGAACUAGGCAAAAUGGUGCCGUAACUUCGGGAGAAGGCACGCUGAUAUGUAGGUGAAGUCCCUCGCGGAUGGAGCUGAAAUCAGUCGAAGAUACCAGCUGGCUGCAACUGUUUAUUAAAAACACAGCACUGUGCAAACACGAAAGUGGACGUAUACGGUGUGACGCCUGCCCGGUGCCGGAAGGUUAAUUGAUGGGGUUAGCGCAAGCGAAGCUCUUGAUCGAAGCCCCGGUAAACGGCGGCCGUAACUAUAACGGUCCUAAGGUAGCGAAAUUCCUUGUCGGGUAAGUUCCGACCUGCACGAAUGGCGUAAUGAUGGCCAGGCUGUCUCCACCCGAGACUCAGUGAAAUUGAACUCGCUGUGAAGAUGCAGUGUACCCGCGGCAAGACGGAAAGACCCCGUGAACCUUUACUAUAGCUUGACACUGAACAUUGAGCCUUGAUGUGUAGGAUAGGUGGGAGGCUUUGAAGUGUGGACGCCAGUCUGCAUGGAGCCGACCUUGAAAUACCACCCUUUAAUGUUUGAUGUUCUAACGUUGACCCGUAAUCCGGGUUGCGGACAGUGUCUGGUGGGUAGUUUGACUGGGGCGGUCUCCUCCUAAAGAGUAACGGAGGAGCACGAAGGUUGGCUAAUCCUGGUCGGACAUCAGGAGGUUAGUGCAAUGGCAUAAGCCAGCUUGACUGCGAGCGUGACGGCGCGAGCAGGUGCGAAAGCAGGUCAUAGUGAUCCGGUGGUUCUGAAUGGAAGGGCCAUCGCUCAACGGAUAAAAGGUACUCCGGGGAUAACAGGCUGAUACCGCCCAAGAGUUCAUAUCGACGGCGGUGUUUGGCACCUCGAUGUCGGCUCAUCACAUCCUGGGGCUGAAGUAGGUCCCAAGGGUAUGGCUGUUCGCCAUUUAAAGUGGUACGCGAGCUGGGUUUAGAACGUCGUGAGACAGUUCGGUCCCUAUCUGCCGUGGGCGCUGGAGAACUGAGGGGGGCUGCUCCUAGUACGAGAGGACCGGAGUGGACGCAUCACUGGUGUUCGGGUUGUCAUGCCAAUGGCACUGCCCGGUAGCUAAAUGCGGAAGAGAUAAGUGCUGAAAGCAUCUAAGCACGAAACUUGCCCCGAGAUGAGUUCUCCCUGACUCCUUGAGAGUCCUGAAGGAACGUUGAAGACGACGACGUUGAUAGGCCGGAUGUGUAAGCGCAGCGAUGCGUUGAGCUAACCGGUACUAAUGAACCGUGAGGCUUAACCUU
rnacentral:rRNA from 1 species